rnacentral:tRNA from 1 species
UCCCUAGCAGUCUAGUGUUUAGGACUUAGCGCUUUCACUGCCAGAGCCUGGGUUCAAUCCCCAGUCAGGGAA